rnacentral:misc_RNA from 1 species
GGAGCAAUGUCAUUGUCUUCGCCCACAAUGCCGUCAUCUAUCUGGGCGUCAUGAUCUACUACGAGGUCUGGCCGGAAACGUUUCUUUACGCCAUUCCGGGGCUUUUGCUUCUGGUGCUUAACGGCGCUCUCGCUAGCCUGUACAUUGGCAUUAUCUCGGCGAGGUUCCGCGAUAUUCCGCAGAUCAUCGUGAGCCUUACCCAGAUUGCAUUCUACGUCACUCCGAUCAUCUGGAAGCCUGAAAUUCUUGGGUCGCGUUCCGCUAUCCUGCUGUUCAAUCCCUUUCAUCAUCUGAUCGAGAUUGUCCGCGGACCAUUGUUGGGACAGUUGCCUUCGUUGGAGUCGUAUACAGCGGUAGGCAUCAUUACGGCGGUCAAUCUGGCGGCCGCCGCCGCCUUCUUCAUUCGCUUCCGGGCACGUAUNNNNNNNNNNACAGCUCUCGGCCUUGACAGGGUUUACGUCUCAUUCCCGAUUUAUCAAACCGGAUCGCGUU